UGUCCUGAAACAUUGUAGUUCACACCUUGAGAAGGUGUCCUCUUCAUCUGAGGUGAAAUUGGUCUGUGGAAACUAGGACUUUUAUUUUUAUGAUUUUCUGAAUGUAUGGACAAAAAAGGAUGAUAACUGGACAGAACUCACAUGCAGUGUGAUGAGCUCAUGACGUCACAACAGUGAAGCUACUGCGCCGCCAUCUUGGUAUUCCCUAACAUUCUGUACUCCUAUGUGUCUCAAUGGGAAAUCAUCUGUUUUGGUGAGUAAUUUGUACCCAUCCAGUCACAUUAAAACACAUUUCUUAUGUCUGCAUACACUGUAUCACAAUGCAAUCUUCCUAAAUAUGUAAUUCAUUAUUUAUUUUGACUUUAAUUUCCCCCCCCUGCUUAUUCUAAAUGUGAGCGUGUUAUGUUACUCUUUAUUGCAGCAGCAUUACGUUCA